GUCUCGGUAGUUCAAUUGGCAGAGCGGCGGGCAGGUAUCCCGGAGUCGCGAGUUCGAGUCUCGCCCGAGACA